GAUGAAGAACGUAGCGAAAUGCGAUAAGUAGUGUGAAUUGCAGAAUUCAGUGAAUCAUCGAAUCUUUGAACGCACAUUGCGCCCCUUGGUAUCCCGAGGGGCAUGCCUGUUCGGGCGUCAUUUCACCACUCAAGCCUGGCUUGGUGUUGGGCGACGUCCCCUUUGGGGACGCGCCUCGAAACGCUCGGCGGCGUGGCACCGGCUUUAAGCGUAGCAGAAUCUUUCGCUUUGGAAGUCGGGGCCCCGUCUGCCGGAAGACCUACUCGCAAGGUUGACCUCGGAUCAGGCAGGGAUACCCGCUGAACUUAAGCAUAUCAAUAAGCGGAGGA
rnacentral:misc_RNA from 1 species